CCUACGGGAGGCAGCAGUGGGGAAUCUUGCGCAAUGGGCGAAAGCCUGACGCAGCAACGCCGCGUGCGGGAUGAAGGCCCUCGGGUUGUAAACCGCUUUCAGCAGGGACGAAGAUGACGGUACCUGCAGAAGAAGCCCCGGCCAACUACGUGCCAGCAGCCGCGGUAACACGUAGGGGGCGAGCGUUGUCCGGAUUUAUUGGGCGUAAAGAGCUCGUAGGCGGUUCCGUCAGUCGGGUGUGAAAACUCUGGGCUCAACCCCGAGAGACGCCACCCGAUACUGCGGUGACUAGAGUCCGGUAGGGGAGUGCGGAAUUCCUGGUGUAGCGGUGAAAUGCGCAGAUAUCAGGAGGAACACCAACGGCGAAGGCAGCACUCUGGGCCGGUACUGACGCUGAGGAGCGAAAGCGCGGGGAGCGAACAGGAUUAGAUACCCUGGUAGUCCACGCCGUAAACGUUGGGCACUAGGUGUGGGACCUUUCCAACGGGUUCCGUGCCGCAGCUACGCAUAGUCGCCCGCCGUGGGAGGUACGGCCGCGACGACGUAAACUACGAAGGAAGUAGACGGCGUGAGACGUGCCGACGGACGACGACGAGGGAGAGG
rnacentral:rRNA from 1 species